CUCAGGGUGGGUGGUGGUGGUGGUGGUGGUGAAGGGUUGAGAAUGGUGGCUGACUCUUGCAGUGGCGAAGCAGGCAGGUGCAGCAAGCCGGCAGGCCUACACGUGGCAGGUGCAGCAAGCCGGCAGGCCUACACGUGGCAGGCCCUGCACAAGACACGCCUGCCUGCCUGUCUCUGCCUGCCGGCCCUGUCCGUGCACCUGGCAGCCUUCCUCCACAGCUCCCUGAUGACUCCCCACUCACCCACCACUGACAGCCUUCUUGCUGACGCUGCUCCAUUCACCCACCACUCUCUUCCACACACACACUUCCUUCCUGUCUCUUUCCUCAGCCUCAAUUUUUGAAGCCCCAGUCUGCCACCUGUCGUUCUGCCCACCAGUCCCCAGUGCACUGGCUGCGUCCCCCUCGCCGUGACCCCUGUGCCACUGAAGACUUGUGUCAGGGCCCUCUUCACCUCCAACCCCUCCCCCACCCCUCAGAGUGUCAGCAGGGCAGCCUCAGUGUGUUGUGGUGGGCAGCAGCAGCAGCAGCAGCAGCAGCAGCAGCACUCAUCCCUUCAUCCUUGUGGUCACUCUCCCUGUGCUGGCCGUACCACCCCAGGCUGCAGCCCUCCCCACUGACCUCUCACCUUCCUGGCUGACCUCACCUCUGACCACUGCCAAAUACAACUUUUUCUCCUUGAUAUUCUGUUAUUUUAGUGUGUGUGUGUGUGUGUGUGUGUGUGUGUGUGUGUGUGUGUGUGUGUGUGUGUGUGUGUGUGUGUUUGUUUGUUUGUUUGUUUGUUUAUUCAGCUUUAUUUUAUUGAACUA